UACGUAGGGUGCAAGCGUUAAUCGGAAUUACUGGGCGUAAAGCGUGCGCAGGCGGUUAUGUAAGACAGGUGUGAAAUCCCCGGGCUUAACCUGGGAACUGCAUUUGUGACUGCAUAGCUAGAGUACGGUAGAGGGGGAUGGAAUUCCGCGUGUAGCAGUGAAAUGCGUAGAGAUGCGGAGGAACACCGAUGGCGAAGGCAGCCCCCUGGGCUAGCACUGACGCUCAGGCACGAAAGCGUGGGGAGCAAACAGG
rnacentral:rRNA from 1 species